AAAACUUUAAAUAUGUUCUCCCCUGGUCCGCUUUCAGUCUGCGUUUCACUUUGAAUGUUUCAACCCUCCUCCACCUGGAUCACCUCUGAUCCUUCUUGUCAGUGUCCAGCUCCAGCUCAUCAGCUCAUCUUGCACCCUUCCUGCAACACCACCACCACCAUCUACUAGACUCAAUACAGGAAGUCCCUUCAGGGCCGAGAUGUCCAGGAAAGAGACGGCAGAAAAGUCCAGGAUCACACUGUGGAUGUCCACUCUGGGAACGCUGAUGCAGGCAGGAAGUUCUGCAUUCCAGCAGACUUUAAAGGGAAGGCCUUUGAGCUCAGAGGCCGUUUCACUCGGCUUCAUUUGAGACUCAUCGGUCAUCUGGAGAAAUAAAUCCCACAUGCCUUUCUGUUUGAGGGAUGCAAGAGAGCAGGAUUAAACACUCAGAAGAAGACUUUGAAUCACUCACUGAUGCAGAUGUUGAUAUUAAACCAAAGUCUCACCUCUGUAAUAUUAACAUCCCUUUUCUGCCACAUUGCCUUGAUUUUCAUGAGAGCCUUAUUCCUUUUCCUUAAAACCCUCAGAGGGUUGAACCCAACCUGUGAAAAGCAAGAGUUUGCAUCACGGUCAGACAUUUAUAUUAUAUGAAAGGCAACUGAAGCAGGGGAGAGAUUAGUCCUGUCAAACUUACAGCUUCUAUAAGUUUGUCCUUGAAGAAAUCAAUAUUGGCGAAGAAGAUAGGCGAGGGUAUCCUGAAGAUUUUUACUCCCUGAGGUUCAUAAAGCUGAAAAAGAAGCACAAUGUUAAAACAAACGCUAAUCAGAAGGUAAUCUCAUGAUUCAAAGAGUCAGCUGAAUACUUACCUCCACGUAAUCUUUGCGGUCUUUGUAGAGGUCGGAGCCCGCAAUGCUGGCCAAGACAGAACAGCGAGGGCUGCAGAGACAUGAGUGGGUCAGAGAGUGGACUUUGAUGGUGAAGCAUAACCUUUAAUAUGUUAGGAACUGUGUGAUUACAAUUGAGUCCUGAAGACGACAGUGAGCAGCUCGAUCCCCAAGCCCACCCCCAGACCCAGAUCCAGUCCCAGCAGGAUGGCACCGAUACAAGUCCCCAACCAGACCACCUGCAGAAAACACCUGAGGUAAGGAAUCUCUCUGAACUGCAUCAGCAUGCCCUUCAGGUUCACGAUGACCAAGGCUCCCAGGACGGACUAAGGAGUCCAAAAAGAAGAGGCUGCAUCGCAUGAGGAGGGGGACCCAUGUUGCAAACAGGCCUUGAGCUGCCCAUCCCUGUUGUAAACCAUACCCUCCUUGGCGUUCUCAAAUGUAUGACUCAUCCUAACAGCACAGAAUAUAAUUCUCCCUCCAUAUAAGGAACGCACAUUAAAGGCGAAGAGGGGAGUCUCACCCUGGGAAGUGGCUCCAGCAGGAAGCCAAGCGCCAAAGUUACAACCAUCGCCAUUAAAGCUGAGAUCAGUCCUGCAAUCUGCAUUUAUAAAAAGAGUUAAUGUUUCAUUUCAGCGUGCAAGUGUUGUAAAAGCAUGUGACAUCAAACAGAUUGUAAAGC